CAUUCUAUGACAACCAUUGCCUUAGAUGGAGAAUAAAGACCAAUCCUUGUGCGUUGAUCUCACUCAAAUCAACGAUCUAGAUUUUUUUCGGAUUUAUUGUUUUAAUGAAAUUACUUAUUAUUUAUCUGGUUUUAAUGAACCGCUGAGGGUAAAAACGUGAACUUCUAUUUCAACGAAAUGAUGCUGUUUAAUAUAUCCCGUGAAUCACGCAUUUUCCAUUCGAAGGGAAGCUGUUCCAAAACAAUGGCGAUUAUAUUUUCCCUUCCAAGAAAUAUUUUCACAGAAGAUAUAAUUGAAGAAUUUGGUAUCGCGCUGGUGAUUCGGCGUCUUCUCAAUCGCCGUUAUGGAGUUGGAGCAUGGAAAUGAAUUUGUCGUUCCAGGGUACUGGAGGAGAAUCACCAAUACUUGGGUGUGUGUUGAAGAAUCGUCCUGUCAAGAAAUUGAAUUAUUGAGCAUAUGAUAUUUAUAAUAUUGUGUGCAUUAAGACUCCGCUCAGCUGUAGAUAAAAGGCGAUUGCUAUGCAUUGUAUGCACAAUGAUUCUCUGGACGAUGGCAAGGUUCUUUUCAUGGUAAAAGAUGUUGAGUUACGUAGAUAUGAUUUCGUUUCUAUGAGAAGAGGAUGUCUAGUGCAGCCAUCGAUAGUUAAUGCAUGGUCGAUUAUGUUGAACCACGUGUCUAUAUCUGAUGCUGUGAAACAACCAAUACGAUUCUUUGCCUCUACAGACAUAUAUGCAAGUAUUCGAAGUUAAAUCUGUAUGUAACAGUGCUUUGUGAAUAUAUUGUAUGAAAUUUUUAUUUGAAGUGCUGGAACACAGAUUGAUUGCAUAUACAACAAUGAAAUGUCACAUGUGAACCGAAAACGAACAUUCUCUGAUGGAUUGGAGUGUGAGUUGCGUUUGUAUCAAACCAACUCUCUGGGUGUAAUUGACAUGUUUUUUUUUCCCUGUAUUUCCAGAUGGCAUCCCAUAUCUUCUUUGUUUUGAUUUACGCAAGGAGUUGAUGUUCGUUAUUGACAGUUCAGUACAGUUUAAUCAUCUUCCUGUUGGAACCAACUACGACCUCUUGUGUGAUGUUUUUCCUGCUCUAUUGUCCGAAUUUCUAAACGACAAUGGAGAACAUUUGAGUGCGGCGUCAGUUGCAAAAUCAACAAUUGAAGUCGUUCAACUCAACUGG